UACGGAGGGGGCAAGCGUUGUUCGGAAUUACUGGGCGUAAAGGCUCGUAGGUGGCCAACUAAGUCAGACGUGAAAUCCCUCGGCUCAACCGGGGAACUGCAUCUGAUACUGGAUGGCUUGAGAUUGGGAGAGGGAUGCGGAAUUCCAGGUGUAGCGGUGAAAUGCGUAGAUAUCUGGAGGAACACCGGUGGCGAAGGCGGCAUCCUGGACCAACACUGACGCUGAGGAGCGAAAGGCCAGGGGAGCAAACGG
rnacentral:rRNA from 1 species